rnacentral:rRNA from 1 species
GACGAACGCUGGCGGCGUGCUUAACACAUGCAAGUCGAACGGAAAGGCCCUGCUUUUGUGGGGUGCUCGAGUGGCGAACGGGUGAGUAACACGUGAGUAACCUGCCCUUGACUUUGGGAUAACUUCAGGAAACUGGGGCUAAUACCGGAUAGGAGCUCCUGCUGCAUGGUGGGGGUUGGAAAGUUUCGGCGGUUGGGGAUGGACUCGCGGCUUAUCAGCUUGUUGGUGGGGUAGUGGCUUACCAAGGCUUUGACGGGUAGCCGGCCUGAGAGGGUGACCGGCCACAUUGGGACUGAGAUACGGCCCAGACUCCUACGGGAGGCAGCAGUGGGGAAUAUUGCACAAUGGGCGGAAGCCUGAUGCAGCAACGCCGCGUGCGGGAUGACGGCCUUCGGGUUGUAAACCGCUUUCGCCUGUGACGAAGCGUGAGUGACGGUAAUGGGUAAAGAAGCACCGGCUAACUACGUGCCAGCAGCCGCGGUGAUACGUAGGGUGCGAGCGUUGUCCGGAUUUAUUGGGCGUAAAGGGCUCGUAGGUGGUUGAUCGCGUCGGAAGUGUAAUCUUGGGGCUUAACCCUGAGCGUGCUUUCGAUACGGGUUGACUUGAGGAAGGUAGGGGAGAAUGGAAUUCCUGGUGGAGCGGUGGAAUGCGCAGAUAUCAGGAGGAACACCAGUGGCGAAGGCGGUUCCCUGGGCCUUUCCUGACGCUGAGGAGCGAAAGCGUGGGGAGCGAACAGGCUUAGAUACCCUAGUAGUCCACGCUGUAAACGGUGGGUACUAGGUGUGGGGUCCAUUCCACGGGUUCCGUGCCGUAGCUAACGCUUUAAGUACCCCGCCUGGGGAGUACGGCCGCAAGGCUAAAACUCAAAGGAAUUGACGGGGCCCCGCACAAGCGGCGGAGCAUGCGGAUUAAUUCGAUGCAACGCGUAGAACCUUACCUGGGUUUGACAUGGAUCGGGAGUGCUCAGAGAUGGGUGUGCCUCUUUUGGGGUCGGUUCACAGGUGGUGCAUGGCUGUCGUCAGCUCGUGUCGUGAGAUGUUGGGUUAAGUCCCGCAACGAGCGCAACCCUUGUUCACUGUUGCCAGCACGUUAUGGUGGGGACUCAGUGGAGACCGCCGGGGUCAACUCGGAGGAAGGUGGGGAUGACGUCAAGUCAUCAUGCCCCUUAUGUCCAGGGCUUCACGCAUGCUACAAUGGCUGGUACAGAGAGUGGCGAGCCUGUGAGGGUGAGCGAAUCUCGGAAAGCCGGUCUCAGUUCGGAUUGGGGUCUGCAACUCGACCUCAUGAAGUCGGAGUCGCUAGUAAUCGCAGAUCAGCAACGCUGCGGUGAAUACGUUCCCGGG